rnacentral:tRNA from 1 species
UGCGGCUGGAUCACCUCCUUUCUAAGGAAGAUGUUGAGUAUCAUUGAAUUUAUUGAGUGAUCUGAACGUUUUUUGAAGAUUAAAGCUUUUAAUUAAGCUUGAUAUAAAUUUGCUGUUGUGAAGCAGCGUUUUUAAAAGGAUCGCCGUCCAUGUUUCUCUUUCUUUUCGGAUUUUUUGCGAUGAUGGGGGGUCGUUAAUAUUUGGUUUUGAGGGCCCGUAGCUCAGGUGGUUAGAGUGCACCCCUGAUAAGGGUGAGGUCGGUAGUUCAAAUCUACCUGGGCCCACCACUUUUUGUUCAGGGGGCCGUAGCUCAGUCGGUAGAGCGCCUGCUUUGCAAGCAGGAUGCCAGCGGUUCGAUUCCGCUCGGCUCCACCAUUGGCGUAAUUAUGGAAUUUUGUUCUGAUUUUUUGGAGCAAGAGUUUUUUGAAAAUUGAAUAGAAGAUAUAUUUUUUUGUAUUUUUUAUGUUGGCAUUGUAUGCGACAUAUAAGAUACCGGCGUUGUUAACCGCACGUUGAGAAUUUAUCUCAGGAAAUUGGUCUAUUGAAGAAGCAUAAGGAUAUUAUGUUUUUUUAAUUAUAAAGAGUUUGCAAAGAACUUUAUGACGAUUGACAAUGAGAGU